rnacentral:rRNA from 1 species
GAUGAACGCUGGCGGCGUGCCUAAUACAUGCAAGUCGAGCGAACGGACGAGAAGCUUGCGUCUCUGAUGUUAGCGGCGGACGGGUGAGUAACACGUGGAUAACCUACCUAUAAGACUGGGAUAACUUCGGGAAACCGUAGCUAAUACCGGAUAAUAUUUUGAACCGCAUGGUUCAAAAGUGAAAGACGGUCUUGCUGUCACUUAUAGCUGGAUCCGCGCUGCAUUAGCUAGUUGGUAAGGUAACGGCUUACCAAGGCAACGAUGCAUAGCCGACGUGAGAGGGGGAUCGGCCACACUGGAACUGAGACACGGUCAAGACGCCUACGGGAGGCAGCAGUAGGGAAUCUUCCGCAAUGGGCGAAAGCCUGACGGAGCAACGCCGCGUGAGAGAUGAAGGUCUUCGGAUCGUAAAACUCUGUUAUUAGGGAAGAACAUAUGUGUAAGUAACUGUGCACAUCUUGACGGUACCUAAUCAGAAAGCCACGGCUAACUACGUG